CACGUAGGGGGCAAGCGUUGUCCGGAUUUAUUGGGCGUAAAGAGCUCGUAGGCGGUUUCGUUAGUCGGGUGUGAAAACCCCAGGCUCAACCUGGGGACGCCACCCGAUACUGCGAUGACUAGAGUCCGGUAGGGGAGUGUGGAAUUCCUGGUGUAGCGGUGAAAUGCGCAGAUAUCAGGAGGAACACCAACGGCGAAGGCAGCACUCUGGGCCGGAACUGACGCUGAGGAGCGAAAGCGUGGGUAGCGAACAGG
rnacentral:rRNA from 1 species